rnacentral:tRNA from 1 species
GAUAAAAUGGCUGAAUUAUAGGCAGUAAAUUGUAAAUUUACUUAUGAGUAGAACUCUUUUAUCA